rnacentral:lncRNA from 1 species
CUUAUCUCGCUUAUUAUGUGGCCCAAGUUCAAAUUCUCUUAUCACCCAAGCAAACCCAAAAGUUCAAACAACGUUAAGUUCAAUUACGACCAGAAUUAUGUCAUACUUGGGUCCUCUGCAACGGACACAAGCACCACAUAUUUUACCUUGUAAUGUCAAUGAUAUCCAAUUACAGAGUUUAUGCCAGCCACGUAAUCCAGUAAAUCUUGGAGAAACUACACUCAGUCUGUCAUUCCAGGCAGUUAUUGCUUUGGCUCUUUCAUUACAGAGCUCCUCUUCGGCUCAGGAUCAGACUCAGUCUCAAAACAUGGAAAUUAUGAAUGUUGUUCAAGUUAUUAUGGUG